rnacentral:lncRNA from 1 species
CUAGUUGAACUAGGACUAGUUUUUCCUUGCACUUGGCUUAUCUAAUAAACCAAUUGGACUUGAUCCAAUCAAGCCCAAACUAAAUAUAAUUAAAUUAUAUUUAAUUAAACUUAAUCUCAGCCCAUUGACUUAAUCAAAUUAAGCCAAUUAGCAAUCGAAUUGCUAAUCAAUCCUCCUACAACACUUGCACUGGGUUAAAUGUCAAUCGUAUUGAUCAUUUAAUCCUAGAAUGAUUCUUAAUCGUUGAUCAACCAUCCGAUUGGAUCAUGAACUCUAAUGUGUGUGACCUCAUAGGUCUGAACCUAAGCCGGUAGUAUAAAAAUAAAUUUCUGUACCAAUCGAAGUGACCAUCUAGCAAUGGUACCCGACGAUCGGAUAGGUCGAAUGUAUAGAACAACAUCCUUAGAACCCAUGCGGAUAUAGUUUUCAUAUAAUUCAUCCCCUUGACCAAAAUGAUCAUAGGACACCCCAGAGUUCAACGGUCAACUCUGAUCAGGUUGUCUACAUUAUAUUUUAAAAUAUCAAAUCCAUCUGAUGGAUUACCCUGGCCAAGGUUUUGCUAAAUUGAAAUACAGCGACUCAUUCUUCUCCAACUCUUGGAGUGGUCAAUCCCAUCUCGAUCACACUCUGACUUUGUAAGUAUUUGACUGUGCCCAGAAGCCUUCUGUCCCUGAAUUAAAAAUUCAGUUAGUCCAGUACCAAAGCACAGUGAGUUGCUUGCAAGUCACUGAGGCGAUCUCAGGUCUAAGGGACACUUAUACCUAUAUCCC